GACGAACGCUGGCGGCGUGCUUAACACAUGCAAGUCGAGCGGUAAGGCCCCUUCGGGGGUACACGAGCGGCGAACGGGUGAGUAACACGUGGGUGACCUGCCCUCAGCUCUGGGAUAAGCCUGGGAAACUGGGUCUAAUACCGGAUAUGACUCCAUGACGCAUGUCGUGGGGUGGAAAGCCUAGUGCGGCUGGGGAUGGGCCCGCGGCCUAUCAGCUUGUUGGUGGGGUGAUGGCCUACCAAGGCGACGACGGGUAGCCGGCCUGAGAGGGCGACCGGCCACACUGGGACUGAGACACGGCCCAGACUCCUACGGGAGGCAGCAGUGGGGAAUCUUGCGCAAUGGGCGAAAGCCUGACGCAGCGACGCCGCGUGAGGGAUGACGGCCU
rnacentral:rRNA from 1 species